GAAGCGGAACUCCAGGCUCUGGAUGACUGUUUAGUAGUUUGGAACUGAAUUUUACUGAGAUAAUUUCUGAAGGGGGAUGAGAACAACCACUCUCCCAUAUUCUGCCGGUAUGCCUCUGCCCCUAUAUCUAAAUCAGGAAAUCGCUGAGGUGGUGGCAAUUAGUUCAUGUCUUGAUUAUGUUCGGAAAUAGAUAACUGCGAUUUUCUGGCUAAACUAGUUUGUGUUGCGUGGGUGAUUUUAAGGAAACUUGCAAGUUAUAGGGUUUGAUUAUUUCCCUACAUAUGCACAUCGUUGUAGGUUUGUUGUGGAAUUCUGACUUUUGAUUCUAUCUACUCGUUGUAGGUCAAUGUCUGCACUUUGUUGAUAGUUUGCUAGACAGUUCAUUUCAGCUCGAGUCUGAUCUUGUUUCGUCUUGAUUAACAUAGUUUGGCCUCAGCAAAGCAAACAUUUUGUACAAAAUAUUAUUAUUUAAAGACAACGAUCCAUGAUUGAUUAUCACCGUACAAGAUCAUUUUCGCAGAGGAACACAUAUUUUGUUGAUGAUGAAAAUUUGCAUAGGUGGAUAGUCAGUCUGAUCAGGCACAUGUAGAUCAAAAACUACUUAUCCACAUGUAGAUCAAAAACUUGCGAGUUCUCACUCUUGAUCAGGCCCUAAAGUUACAAGGUGGACCUUACAUGGCGCAGGCAGCUGCAAGGUGGUGAAUCGACAAUGCCUGAUAUGAAACCGUACACAUAGUCCCUACGACUAGCCUGCCUUCAAAUUCCCGCGGAUCUACGCAGACAUCAACUUCAGGAGAUGACUGCUUUCAGCAAGGAGGAGUUUGUGCAGGUGCUGCAGCAGCAGCCGCUGGCUUCAUCUGGGGCAGCUCCAGGUUCCGGGGCAUCACCCUGUACAAGUGUGGCAAGUGGGUGGCUAGGUCAUGGGCAAGAAGCCAAGAAGUAAUCUUUAUUCGUCAGGGAAAAAUGCGUUAACUUUCCACAGGGCUUACGACAAGACUGCCACCGAAAGCUGCGGGGAGGAGGCGCGACCAACUUCGAGGAGUAUGAUACAGGCCCAGGAUCUCCUCAAGCUCGACCAAAUCAGCCGCGUCCAUCGCUGACAUCUUACCACCCACUUUGGGGUGUGCCGGGGCCGAAUCAAAUGGCACAAUAAGGCGUAAUACAGUCAAUAAGCCAGUUCGUUGUGCAGUAUAUGUCGUGUCAUGUCAUCAAUAAUCCACAUGUGGAAAUGCCUCCUGCGUCAAAUGUUUGAUAUAGUUUUCCAUGCUUAGAUGUCUCCGCACCCUGUGUCAAAGUGGCCAGUUGUAAUGGCUGAUGCAUCUGAAGGAGCGCCAUUGCUGUUAAGUUGUGGUGUAAUUAGUUGGUACAUACAGGGAGUUCCAUAGGUUGGUCCUAUCAGCUUAAUACCAAUGGUCAUGGAUAUGUGCAGCGAAGUGAAACACUGACUUAAUCUUUGACGAGAGUUGCAGUAGUAGGUAUCCUUGGAGUUGGUCCCUCUUAUUAUGACAUUAUAAGAGAGGAAUGCUUAUGUUUUUCCUAAUUUCAAAUCUAUUGUUACU